GUGGUGUUCUCGUCCAUCCUCCCCGUGGAAGGAAAAGGCCUGGGUAGGGACCAUUGAAUCAUGGAAGUCAACGAAUGGCUACGCAGGUGGUGUCAGAGAGAAUGCUUUGGAUUCUUUGACCAUGGGAUGGUGUUCCAUGAAGGAGGAGUGCUGGGCAGAGACGGGCUCCACCUUACGAAGAGAGGGAAGAGCAUCUUUGCGAGCAGGCUGGCUAACCUAGUGAGGAGGGCUUUAAACUAGGUUCACCGGGGGAAGGAGACCAAAGCCCUGAGGGAAGUAGUUCCAUUGAAAUGUGACAUCAGUUUCCAUGACGACAGAAUGAGGUAAAUCACACAAGUGCAGGAUGGAACAGAAACCCUGUGAUGAAGGUAGAGGAGGAGGAGAGUACUUACUGGCUAAGUACACUUGCACCCUAAACUCUACAGAAUGAGAGCAAGAGUACUGUGACAUGAUCAAGCAACACAGAGGUUGGCAGGAGAAACAUCUUCAGCCAAAUGAGAUCUGCAGCAGAUAGCAUUCAAAAGGAUUAAAAGAAAACAGACAUGAGGUGAAAGGGUUAGGUGUUCAAAGAAACUGGACAGCAUGGAGUCCUAUUUUUCAGCUGAAGGAGUAACCUGGCUGUUUUAGCUGUGCCCCACACAGAGGGGUUUUCAAACAAAGAACAGGACAAACACAAAUACAAUCUCAUUAAGUUAAUAAAACCGAAACAAAU